rnacentral:rRNA from 1 species
GAUAACUCCUAUUAAUUUAUUUAUAUGGUGUCACAAAAUCGGAAGCCCCGACUGUUUACUAAAAACACAACUAUCUGCAAUUAUGAAAAUAAUAGUAUAGGUAGUGAGAUUUGCCCAAUGCCAUAAUAAUAAGUAAUAAUAAUGGGUAACUGUUUCUUUACAAAAAUUUGGUUAAUAGCGGUCUUAACUAUGAGGAUCCUAAGGUAGCAAAAUAAAUUGGCCAUUAAAUGUGGUCCAGUAUCAAUAAUUUAACGAUGGCUUCACUGUCUCUACAACUUGCUCAGUGAAAUUGAAUUACCCGUGCAGAUGCGGGUUACCUCAAAGAGGACGGGAAGACCCUAUGCAGCUUCUACUGGGGGA